GACAGAGGGGGCAAGCGUUGCUCGGAAUCACUGGGCGUAAAGGGCGCGUAGGCGGGAUGGCAAGUCGGUCGUGAAAUCCCUGGGCUCAACUCAGGGGGGUCGGCCGAUACUGCCAUUCUUGAGGGAUGCAGAGGAGACUGGAAUUCCCGGUGUAGCGGUGAAAUGCGCAGAUAUCAGGAAGAACACCCGUGGCGAAGGCGGCUCUCUGGGCCGAUACUGACGCUGAGGAGCGAAAGCGUGGGGAGCGAACAGG
rnacentral:rRNA from 1 species